rnacentral:rRNA from 1 species
AUACGGAGGAUCCGAGCGUUAUCCGGAUUUAUUGGGUUUAAAGGGUGCACAGGCGGCCAUUUAAGUCAGCGGUUAAAUCGUGGGGCUCAACCCCAUUCUGCCGUUGAUACUGGGUGGCUUGAUUGCGGUCGAGGUUGGCGGAAUUCGUUGUGUAGCGGUGAAAUGCAUAGAUAUGACGAAGAACACCGAUUGCGUAGGCAGCUGACCAGACCGCAAAUGACGCUCAUGCACGAAAGUGCGGGGAUCGAACAGGAUUAGAUACCCUGGUAGUCCGCACAGUAAACGAUGAAUACUUGUUUUCGGCGAUAUAAUGUCGGAGGCAAAGCGAAAGCGAUAAGUAUUCCACCUGGGGAGUACGCCGGCAACGGUGAAACUCAAAUGAAUUGGCGGGG